CCUACGGGAGGCAGCAGUGAGGAAUAUUGGUCAAUGGACGCAAGUCUGAACCAGCCAUGCCGCGUGCAGGAAGACGGCUCUAUGAGUUGUAAACUGCUUUUGUACGAGGGUAAACGCAGAUACGCGUAUCUGUCUGAAAGUAUCGUACGAAUAAGGAUCGGCUAACUCCGUGCCAGCAGCCGCGGUAAUACGGAGGAUUCGAGCGUUAUCCGGAUUUAUUGGGUUUAAAGGGUGCGUAGGCGGUCGGAUAAGUUAGAGGUGAAAUCCCGAGGCUCAACUUCGGAAUUGCCUCUGAUACUGGUUGGCUAGAGAGUAGUUGCGGUAGGCGGAAUGUAUGGUGUAGCGGUGAAAUGCUUAGAGAUCAUACAGAACACCGAUUGCGAAGGCAGCUUACCAAGCUACUUCUGACGUUGAGGCACGAAAGCGUGGGGAGCAAACAGGAUUAGAUACCCGGGUAGUC
rnacentral:rRNA from 1 species